UCUGUCUCACGAUCCCGCAGCACCUGCUCCGUAACGGCAUCGCCUUGGGUUGCAUGUAGAUCUUCUGUCUCAGAUCGUUGACGAUCUGGAUAAAACCUGACUUUCCUGUUUCAUUAACUGGUGGUUUGGUGCUCCAACUCGCUCGUAAUGUUUCUGCUUCUGCUGCUUUAGCCACUGCAUGGGCUAGACAAUUUCCGUUUCUGGGGGUCCAAGUUAUUCCCUUUUCAGCUAUUGCCCCUGUUCCAGUAUCCUUCCUGAAGGCUGCAUCAACAUUUGCUUUCAACCAGUUUGCAGGGGGAGGUCUCCAUUUCACCAGGUUUGGUCUUCACCAUUGCAGACUCAGUAUAUGCCCUUCUAUUUUCUAUGGUCCACCUUCAUACGCUCUUCUAGUUUCCUCCUGACUUUUGAAGUUCAAGAUAAAGGAGUUUGGUCCUGCAUUAGUGAUCACCAGACCCUGUGAAUCUCCCCACAUAUUGAGGAUCAUUUUACGCACUGUGACUGUAUUUAGCACCUUAUCUGUCAACACCCUGCCAACUAGCUUCUGAUCUGUAUCUCCAUGUUGAGCUGGAGAAUCUUCUAGGUCUAGAACAUCCCCUUCCAUGGCUACAUUUUCUAUCCCUUCCAUGACUUGCCUUGUUGAGUUGUGUUCCUU